UACGGAGGGUGCAAACGUUGCUCGGAAUCAUUGGGCGUAAAGCGCACGUAGGCGGCCUGUUAAGUCGGGUGUGAAAGCCCUGGGCUCAACCCAGGAAGUGCACUCGAAACUGGCGGGCUUGAAUAUGGAAGAGGGUCGCGGAAUUCCCGGUGUAGAGGUGAAAUUCGUAGAUAUCGGGAGGAACACCAGUGGCGAAGGCGGCGAC
rnacentral:rRNA from 1 species